rnacentral:rRNA from 1 species
GGGACGAACGCUGGCGGCGUGCUUAACACAUGCAAGUCGAGCGGUAAGGCCUUUCGGGGUACACGAGCGGCGAACGGGUGAGUAACACGUGGGUGAUCUGCCCUGCACUUCGGGAUAAGCCUGGGAAACUGGGUCUAAUACCGGAUAUGACCUCCUAUCGCAUGGUGGGUGGUGGAAAGAUUUAUCGGUGCAGGAUGGGCCCGCGGCCUAUCAGCUUGGUUGGUGGGGUAAUGGCCUACCGAAGGCGACGACGGGUAGCCGACCUGAGAGGGUGACCGGCCACACUGGGACUGAGACACGGCCCAGACUCCUACGGGAGGCAGCAGGUGGGGAAUAUUGCACAAUGGGACGAAAGCCUAGAUGCAGCGACGCCGCGGUGGAGGAUGACCGGCCGUUCGGGUUCGUAACCUC